AGAGGGUGCGAGCGUUAAUCGGAGUGACUGGGCGUAAAGGGCGCGUAGGUGGUUAUAUAAGAUAGAGGUGAAAGACCUGGGCUUAACCGAGGAAUUGCCUCUGUGACUGUAUAACUAGAGUUUUAAAUAGAGGGUAGCGGAACUCCCGGUGUAGCGGUGAAAUGCGUAGAUAUCGGGAAGAACACCAGCGGCGAAGGCGGCUACCUGGUUAAAGACUGACACUGAGGCGCGAAAGCGUGGGUAGCGAACAGGAUUAGAUACCCUGGUAGUCCACGCUGUAAACGAUGAAUACUAGAUGUGGGUGAGCUAGACUCAUCCGUAUCGAAGCAAACGCGAUAAGUAUUCCGCCUGGGGAUACGACCGCAAGGUUA
rnacentral:rRNA from 1 species